AUGGUCAUAUCAUGUUUAAACGCUGGUUCCUGUAUGAUCACCAAAGUUAAGCAAUAUCAAGCCUAGUCAGUAUUUAGAUGGGUGAGUGCUUGGGAAUACCAGGUUCUGCAAG